rnacentral:rRNA from 1 species
CUACGGGGCACUGCAGUGAGGAAUAUUGCACAAUGGGGGGAACCCUGAUGCAGCAACGCCGCGUGGAGGAUGACGCAUUUCGGUGUGUAAACUCCUUUUAUAUGUCAAGAAAAUGACGGUAGCAUAUGAAUAAGCACCGGCUAACUCCGUGCCAGCAGCCGCGGUAAUACGGAGGGCGCAAGCGUUACUCGGAAUCACUGGGCGUAAAGAGCGUGUAGGCGGAUUAAAAAGUCAGAAGUGAAAUCCUAUAGCUUAACUGUAGAACUGCACUUGAAACUUCUAAUCUAGAGUAUGGGAGGGGGAGAUGGAAUUAGUGGUGUAGGGGUAAAAUCCGUAGAUAUCACUAGGAAUACCUAAAGCGAAGGCGAUCUCCUGGAACAUUACUGACGCUAAGGCGUGAAAGCGUGGGGAGCAAACAGGAUUAGAUACCCCCGUAGUC